UUAGUCUCAAAGGUGCCACAGGACCCUCUGUUGCUUUUUACAGAUUCAGACUAACACGGCUACCCCUCUGAAACAAAGAACAGUCAGACUGAAAUAACGCAAUGAGGGCAAUAGCAGACUGAUCUAAAGAAAAAGGAUCUGGAACUACAAGGCUUGCAGCUUCUAAUUCCUAAUGGGAAACACUCCGAUGUUGCAGUUCAAAUAAACCCUCCAAAGUCUGGAAGGUUAUUGCAAUUUACUGGAGGUGCUUGGAUCUGGUUUUUUGACAAGAAAUUUUUCUUGUGGAAUUUCUACUAUUUCCUACUUUAACCUAUUUGAUAUACCCCCUAGGAGAAGUUUUUUGUUGUAGUAUUAUGCUGUUUCUUUCUGUUCUUAUGUCCCAGACUUCCUGUGUGACCUUGGUCAAUUCACUAAGGGUAUCCCUACGCUGCAGCUGGAGGAGUGAUUGCAGCACAUAUAGACGUACCUGAGCUAGCUUUAAUCUAGCUAGUUCAAGUUCUGAGAGCAGUGAAGCCGUGGUGGCUGUAUGAGCCCACCCAGGACCCUGGCUGUGUACUCUGGCGGUGGUGACUAGCCUGUGCUUUAGUCCAUGUUGUCACAGCUUCACUGCUAUUGGUAUCCAAGCUAGCUAGAUUAAAACUAGCUCUGGUAUGGCUACAGAUCCUGCAGUCACACCUCUGGUUCAGUGGCUUUGGCCUCUCUGUGACUCCAUUCCCAGCCUGUACAAUGAGGAUAAUAGUACUUCCCUACCUUACAGCGGUGCUGUGAGGAGAAAUACAUUGAGAGAGCCUCCAUACUGCAGGACUGGGGGCCAUGUAAAUACAUAAGAUGGGUAGGUGGAGCUUCAUAUUUAGUUCCCUGCUGUAUUGUAGGUUUUUCUCCUGUUGUGUUUACUUUGAGUUCAGGUUUGUACAACCUGCAAAAACUCAGUGGCAUUCACCCCAAAUCCCUGCAUUUCACCCUGGUUUUGGGCCCAAAACCAUGAAAAGUCCCAGUGUGCUGCAGGAUAGUUUGACCUGAAAUGAUAACUUGGUCCCUAGUGCUUUGGAAAGCUAAUCCAAAAUCAGUGGUUUGCUGUGAACGUGUUGCACAAUUUUAAUGCUUUUAAGAAUGAAAUUGUCUUUGGUAAACUAAUAGAGUUCUUUCAAAUCUCAAAAGGGGAAGAUUCACGUGAAGAGUUGUCCAUUCCCUGGUCCGGUCUGCACACCUAGAUACCAGAAUGUGAAAAACAGCUAAAAGGAUUCUGGAGGUGUUUGGAAAAAAGUGAACAAACCGUAAGGCAGAGACCAAGCAUGCAGCCCCCAAAACAAUCAACCUUCAGGCGUGAAUUAAAAGCUCCAGGACUGCGUGAAAUCUGGAUUACAGUCUGUGACUCUUGCCUAGCUGCACUAAUGGAACUGAAUUCGUGGCUCAGAAAUGAAGAUUUUAUUUGGGAUGUUUGUGGUAAAUAGAAAUUGCCUGUCUGCCACAGCUGUAUUUAAGGCAUAGGCACCAAAGGCCAGUGCCUAGGACCCCAUCUCUUGGAGUUGCAUAAUGAGAUCAGGAUAUUGGCUUUCAUUUUAAGAAGUUUCUGGCCCACAUGGAUGCAAAGAGAAGCUUGAAAAUGUGAAUGGAGUGAACUAAUGGUUGUCGGAGUCUGCAUGUGGCCUGAAACAAUAACUCAGAAAGGCCUCAACUGAAAUAGCUGCCACCCUAUGGAAGGAUGGGGCCAUAGAGUUGAAACAGAGACAUGGUGUGGGGGGUCAAGACAUGGGGGACCCAUGUGGACUUUGCCUGUGGUGCCAGAUAGAUAUGAAGUCUUUCCGCACCUCUAGCUUGUCUGUCUAUGGACUCCAUUUUGCUUCUGUAAAAUCUUCAAAUUGAGUGACCAGAACAGAACACGGUAUGUCAGUUACCAAUACUUCAGUAUCAACCAUGGGAACAGCUAUGGGUACUGGAUGGCUCUCCAAUAUGCCAACCUCUUCAAGGGCCGUCUUGAGGAAGAAUUUCUGGACCAAUGCACCACAAAACCAAUGAUAUACGUUGAUAUUUUCAUCCUUGAGACGGGCCACCUAAACUCCCGCAUAGAUUUCCACCACAACUUCAACCACCAGAAUCCAUCCAUCUAACUCUCUCUCGUAUACGCCCACACCAGAAUCAACUUCCUGGACAACAUGGUGGGCUUCAAUAAUAGAACCCUGCAGACAACUAUAUAUGAGACACCCAUGGAUCACCACACCUACCUUCACAGACCCAGUAACCUCCCCAAAAACUCCAAGAAAUCUUCUCUAUAGCCAGGCCCUUAGAUACCACACAAUGUGCUCCAAGGAGAAACUCCGGGAUCCAUUUCUUAACACUUAAAACCACCUUCACCAAACAAGGACAUUCCCUCCAGAAGAGUAGAUCACAUCAUGGAACAGGACACCUAAAUACCACCAGCACACCUGUAUCAAUACAGGGGAAAACCCUCUGACUGAACACUCCUAGUUGUCACCUUCCACAUCACACUGGAACCUAUCCGAGGUAUCAUUAAACAAUUACAACCCAUACUAGAUGGGGACCACAUCCUGAAAGAAAUCUUUCCUAAACCCCCUCUUCUGGCCUCAAAACACUGCCAACCUUUCCAACAUAGCAGCAGUAACACACUCCCUAGAGACCUGGAGCCACCAACUCAAAGCAGCACCAGACUCUGCCAGAAUCACUGAUAUAAAAUCUGCAGAUGCUGAUCAAUAUCCCCCACAACACACCUUGCAAGAUCCAUGCCAUGCCUAUCACAAUAUGUGAUGUACCUCAUCUAGUGUACUCUAAAUGCCCCAAUAAAAACCAUGACUGAACAUAGUGAUCGUCUGGUUUCUUGAAGGAGUUCACACAGAAAUGUGAUAGAAGAAGAAAACCAUGCCGCCUGCAUGCAGAUGCUUUUCACAAAACAAUUGCUCCGUAUCUGACCUCUCAAUCCUCAUCCUCAAAGAAAACCUGCACACUACCUUCAGUAGAUGAGCCUGGGAGCUUAAAUUCACAACUUUGCUAGACAUUAAAAAUCAUGGUCUUCAUAAACACUGGAUUUAUGGCUUAUUAUAGCAAUCUGUAACCCACCAACCCUUCUCUUUUUGUCCUAUGGCUGCAGGGGUGUGAAUGUCCCUUAGAGUAUGUGUCAAAUACGUAUGCUAAACCUUGUAAUUAGCUGUGAUGCUCUGAGUACCUUUCCCAGACCUGAAGAAAAGCUCUGUGGAGCUUGAAAGCUUGUCUCUUUCAUCAAGAGAAGUUGGUUCAAUAAAAGAUAUUACCUCACCCACCUUGUCUCUCUGUUACCAGUACAGUGCUGUUCAUGGUAACCAUUCUUCCUAGACUUUGUAUUCAUGUUAUUCUUAACGGACAGAACAGGGUAUAUGUACAGAAUAGAACAAUGCAAUCUAAAAUUAGUUAAUUCUUGCUCUCAAAUAUUGCGAUGAUAAAGAAAUUACAAAGCAAAGAUUUAAAUUUCUUUGUUUGAAUCUUA